CACAAAAAGAGCACUAGAAGGAAAAAGUCACAAAAAUAACAUUCAUUAAUAGGUAAAAUGUCUUUACUAUCCUUGUUUUAUAAUUAAUAAAAAAUAAAAAAAAAUCUCAGAUCUUCACGAUGGGGAAGACGACGAACUUGAAUCCCAUUUUUCUUCCAUCAACUCCGGCGAAGAACAUUCUCAUCAUCUCCAACGUCAUCUCCGUCAAAGACGUCAGAUUAUAGUAUCCUAAAAAACCUCAGAGAUCAUCGUCGACGACGACAAAAUUCUCUCACAAAUCGAUCACGAGGUCAUCUCCGUCGAAGACGCCGGAGACACUAUCACGUACGAGAAGGCUGCAGUGGAGAUGAGCAGCCACGUCCCUCAUGUGGUUCUUCCCAAGAUUGAUGCAAGCGAGGAAACAAACAAACAAACAAACAUUCAGAGGUUCAGGGAUUCCCAACUAUCAAGAUUUUCGGAAACAGAGGCAAAGCUGUUCAGAAAUACAACAGACCUUGUGAAGCUGAUGGUAUUGUUACUUACUUGAAGAAACAAAGCGGACAUGCUUCUGUUGAGAUCAAGUCCAGUGAUGAUGCUGUUGAGGUUGUUGGUUAUAAGAAGGUUGUUGUUGUAACUAUCUCAUAACAACUAUGUUCCCAUGAUUUGAUCAUCUGUGUAUGGUAGUAGUCAAGUAACAGGAUUGUUCAUUAUUUUACUACUUUGUUUUUUUUUUUCGAUUUCAGGAAGAGUUUUAUAGUUUCA